rnacentral:rRNA from 1 species
UACGAAGGUGGCUAGCGUUGCUCGGAAUCACUGGGCGUAAAGGGUGCGUAGGCGGGUUUUUAAGUCAGGGGUGAAAUCCUGGAGCUCAACUCCAGAACUGCCUUUGAUACUGGCGAUCUCGAGUCCGGGAGAGGUGAGUGGAACUGCGAGUGUAGAGGUGAAAUUCGUAGAUAUUCGCAAGAACACCAGUGGCGAAGGCGGCUCACUGGCCCGGUACUGACGCUGAGGUGCGAAAGCGUGGGGAGCAAACAGG